rnacentral:tRNA from 1 species
GGGCGAUUAGCUCAGUUGGUUUAGAGCGCCUGCCUUACAAGCAGGAGGUCACUGGUUCGAGCCCAGUAUCGCCCA